rnacentral:rRNA from 1 species
AGAAUCAACGCUGGCGGCGUGCCUAACACAUGCAAGUCGAACGAGAAAGUGGAGCAAUCCAUGAGUAAAGUGGCGCACGGGUGAGUAACACGUGACUAACCUACCUUUUAGUGGGGGAUAACCUAGGGAAACCUGGGCUAAUACCGCAUAACACUUACGAGUCAAAGCAGCAAUGCGCUGAAAGAGGGGGUCGCGGCCGAUUAGCUAGUUGGCGGGGUAAUGGCCCACCAAGGCAGUGAUCGGUAUCCGGCCUGAGAGGGCGCACGGACACACUGGAACUGAAACACGGUCCAGACUCCUACGGGAGGCAGCAGUGGGAAUUUUGCGCAAUGGGGGAAACCCUGACGCAGCAACGCCGCGUGGAGGAUGAAGUCCCUUGGGACGUAAACUCCUUUCGAUCGGGACGAUAAUGACGGUACGGAAGAAGAAGCCCGGCUAACUUCGUGCCAGCAGCCGC